CACUUUUCUUAUUGUAAAUUUUGGUGAUUUAGAGGCAAGCUGUACCUUUUAGGUCUUGAGUUUCCCUUUGCUCUUCGUCAUUGGACAGCCUUAACGGUUGAAUUUGAUAUGUUCUUAGAGGUCUAUUUGACCCAUGUUUAGGGGUUUCAGUGUUGGCGUUACAUUGUGAGUUCUGGUGGUACCUUGAACUUUGUUAUACUCAUCAUUGUUAUUGGUUGGAGGAUCCUUGUAUUACCCUGAACGUUGUUAUAGAAAGUUGAACUGAACCUGUUACAGAGAUGAAUCUUUGUUUUCAGAUCAGAAACUGAAAUAUUGUUGCCGUCACUGUUAUUCAGCAACAUAAUAUAAGAUCGCCACAUUUUCUUUAGGGGAAGUUGACAUUAAUCUUUUAGGUUAAUAAAAAACUUUUCAUGCAUGCAGUACAGAUGCUGUUCAUCAUCUUUUCAUAAGCAAGCCUGCUCAAGAAGCUGCUGCAUGGAAGUCAAAAUAUGAAUUAUUGCCACCAGUCUUGAAGUCAGCUUGUAAAGAAUGCUAAGAAUUGAAUGAAAAUGCUGUCUUGAUAUCUUGUUUGUGCUGUUAUAUUUGUCUUUUGUGUUGGUUAAUUAUUCCAUGAAUAAAAAAUAAAAAAAAGUUAA